rnacentral:sRNA from 1 species
UCUAAAUUCAGCGCGUUGUACACCCGCAGUCGAUGAGGUAACCGUAAGGGGCCAGCCGCCUAAGGUGGGAUAGAUGAUUGGGGUGAAGUCGUAACAAGGUAGCCGUAUCGAAAGGUGCGGCUGGAUCACCUCCUUUCUAAGGAUAAGGAACUGCGCAUUGGUCUUGUUUAGUCUUGAGAGGUCUUGUGGGGCCUUAGCUCAGCUGGGAGAGCGCCUGCUUUGACGCAGGAGGUCAGCGGUUCGAUCCCGCUAGUCUCCAUUGGUGAGAGAUCACCAAGUAAUGCACAUUGAAAAUUGAAUAUCUAUAUCAAAUAGUAACAAGAAAAUAAACCGAAAACGCUGUAGUAUUAAUAAGAGUUUAUGACUCAAAGGUCAGAAAAUAAGGUUAAGUUAAUAAGGGCGCACGGUGCAUGCCUUGGCACUAGGAGCCGACGAAGGACGUGACAACGACGAUAUGCCUGAGUAGCUGUGAGUAGCGAUGAUCCGGCAUUUCCGACGGGGAAAAAACUACAAAAGCCCGGGAACGUUAUUUCACAGGCCCCGGGAACGUUAUUCACAGUCCGGGAACGUAUUACACAGGUCCGGGAACGUAUUUCACAGUCUCGGGAACGUAUUCACAGCCCGGACGUAUUCGCAGUGCUCGGUUAUCGUUAUUCAUGGCCAGGGACGUAUUACCAGGCCUAUUAUAUUAUUAUAUUUUGCAGAGAGACAUAUACGCUCCGCGGAGAG